rnacentral:ncRNA from 1 species
UUUUUUGAGAGUUUGAUCCUGGCUCAGGAUGAACGCUGGCGGCGUGCCUUAAGCAUGCAAGUCGAAUGGUCGCAAGACAAUGGCAGACGGGUGAGUAAUAUAUAGGAAUCUACCCUUCAAUGGACCAUAGCUCAUCGAAAGAUGGGGUAAUAGUCCAUAGUCUCGUAAGAGUAAAGAUCUUAACUGAUCGUUGAAGGAGGAGCCUAUAUCCUAUCAGCUAGUUGGCGGGGUAAAAGCCCACCAAGGCGAUGACGGGUAGCUGGACUGAGAGGUCGGUCAGCCACAACUGCACUGAGACACGGGCAGUACACCUACGGGUGGCAGCAACUAGGAAUAUUGCGCAAUGGACGAAAGUCUGACGCAGCGACGCCGCGUGGAGGAUGAAGGCCUAUGGGUUGUAAACUCCUUUUGAUCCCGCAUUCACGCGGGAUAGAAUAAGCCCUUACUAACUACGUGCCAGAAGUCUCGGUAAUACGUAGGGGGCAAGCGUUAUCCGGAUUCAUUGGGCGUAAAGUGUGCGUAGGCUCCUUAAAAAGUCGCGUCUUAAAUACUAAAGCUUAACUUUAGGCAUGGAUGCGAUACUGUUAGGGUUGAGGNNNNNNNNNNNNNNUGGAACAGCUAGAGUAGCAGUGAAAUGCGUUGAUAUUAGCUGGAACACCAAAGGCGAAGGCAGGCAUCUAGGUUUUUCUCUGACGCUGAGGCACGAAAGCUAAGGUAGCGAAACAGAUUAGAUACCUGUGUAGUCUUAGCUGUAAACUAUGUUCGCUAGCUCUCACUUUCAAAGACCAUAAGUCUUUGACAAAUUCAAAAUUCGAAAUGUUUAGGAUUUAGAAAUUAGAUAUUAGGGUUUGUCAAAAUCAUUUGUGAUUUUUGAUAGUGGGGGCGUAAGUUAACACGUUAAGCGAACCGCCUGGGGAGUACGGCCGCAAGGCUAAAACUCAAAG